rnacentral:rRNA from 1 species
AGAGUUUGAUCCUGGCUCAGAUUGAACGCUGGCGGCAGGCCUAACACAUGCAAGUCGAACGGUAACAGGAUAGCUUGCUAUCGCUGACGAGUGGCGGACGGGUGAGUAAUACUUAGGGAUCUGCCUCUGUGUGGGGGAUAACUAUUGGAAACGAUAGCUAAUACCGCAUAAUGUCUACGGACCAAAGCGGGCUUCGGCUCGUGCGCAGAGAGGAACCUAAGCGAGAUUAGCUAGUUGGUGAGGUAAAGGCUCACCAAGGCGACGAUCUCUAGCUGUUCUGAGAGGAAGAUCAGCCACACUGGAACUGAGACACGGUCCAGACUCCUACGGGAGGCAGCAGUGGGGAAUAUUGCACAAUGGGGGAAACCCUGAUGCAGCCAUGCCGCGUGUGUGAAGAAGGCCUUCGGGUUGUAAAGCACUUUCAGUUGUGAGGAAAGUUUAGUAGUUAAUACCUGCUAGAUGUGACGUUAGCAACAGAAGAAGCACCGGCUAACUCCGUGCCAGCAGCCGCGGUAAUACGGAGGGUGCGAGCGUUAACGGAAUUACUGGGCGUAAAGCGCACGCAGGCGGUCUGUUAAGCUAGAUGUGAAAGCCCCGCGCUCAACGUGGGAGGGUCAUUUAGAACUGGCAGACUAGAGUCUUGGAGAGGGGAGUGGAAUUCCACGUGUAGCGGUGAAAUGCGUAGAGAUCUGGAGGAACAUCAAUGGCGAAGGCAACUCCCUGGCCAAAGACUGACGCUCAUGUGCGAAAGCGUGGGGAGCGAACAGGAUUAGAUACCCUGGUAGUCCACGCCGUAAACGAUGGAUACUAGCUGUUCGUCUAACAUUGGUUAGAUGAGUGGCUAAGCGAAAGUGAUAAGUAUCCCACCUGGGGAGUACGGUCGCAAGACUGAAACUCAAAGGAAUUGACGGGGGCCCGCACAAGCGGUGGAGCAUGUGGUUUAAUUCGAUGAUACGCGAGGAACCUUACCAGGGCUUAAAUGUAGUGGGACAGGUCUAGAGAUAGACCCUUCUUCGGACUCAUUACAAGGUGCUGCAUGGUUGUCGUCAGCUCGUGCCGUGAGGUGUCAGGUUAAGUCCUAUAACGAGCGCAACCCCUAUCGUUAGUUGCCAGCGAGUAAUGUCGGGAACUCUAACGAAACUGCCAGUGCAAACUGUGAGGAAGGUGGGGAUGACGUCAAAUCAUCAUGGCCCUUACGUGUAGGGCUACACACGUGCUACAAUGGCGCAUACAGAGUGCUGCGAACCUGCGAAGGUAAGCGAAUCACUUAAAGUGCGUCGUAGUCCGGAUUGGAGUCUGCAACUCGACUCCAUGAAGUCGGAAUCGCUAGUAAUCGCGUAUCAGAAUGACGCGGUGAAUACGUUCCCGGGCCUUGUACACACCGCCCGUCACACCAUGGGAGUGGGUUGCUCCAGAAGUAGAUAGUCUAACCCUCGGGAGGACGUUUACCACGGAGUGAUUCAUGACUGGGGUGAAGUCGUAACAAGGUAACC